GUGGGGAAUAUUGCGCAAUGGGGGAAACCCUGACGCAGCGACGCCGCGUGAGCGAAGAAGGCCUUAGGGUUGUAAAGCUCUGUUUUAAGGGACGAAUGUCGUGGGGAGUAAUAUGCUCUGCGAAUGACGGUACCUUAAGAGGAAGCCCCGGCUAACUACGUGCCAGCAGCCGCGGUAAGACGUAGGGGGCGAGCGUUGUCCGGAAUUACUGGGCGUAAAGAGCACGUAGGCGGGAACUUAAGUCAGGUGUGAAAGACCGGGGCUCAACUCCGGGGUUGCACUUGAAACUGGGUUUCUUGAGGGCAGGAGAGGAAAGCAGAAUUCCUGGUGUAGCGGUGAAAUGCGUAGAAAUCAGGAGGAAUACCAGUGGCGAAGGCGGCUUGCUGGCCAGCAACUGACGCUGAGGCGCGAAAGCCAGGGGAGCAAACGGGAUUAGAAACCCGGGUAGUCC
rnacentral:rRNA from 1 species